GCACCUGGGGUGGAAUGGCAGACACGCAUGAUUCAGGUUCAUGUGCCGCGAGGCAUGAGGGUUCGAGUCCCCCCAGGUGCACCA
rnacentral:tRNA from 1 species